UACGACUACAUAUCAGGCAUAUCAAUAAGCGGAGGAAAAGAAACUAACUAGGAUUCCCUUAGUAACGGCGAGUGAAGCGGGAAGAGCUCAAAUUUGAAAUCUUCAAGGUUCUACCUUGACGAAUUGUAGUUUAAAGAAGUGUUUUCUGUUAGAUGAGUAGCAAAAGUUCCUUGGAAUGGGACAUCAUAGAGGGUGAGAAUCCCGUAUUUGGUUAUUCAUUCUAGCUUUGUGAUACACUUUCAAAGAGUCGGAUUGUUUGGGAAUGCAGUCCAAAAUGGGUGGUAAAUUUCAUCUAAAGCUAAAUAUUGGCGAGAGACCGAUAGCGAACAAGUACCGUGAGGGAAAGAUGAAAAGAACUUUGAAAAGAGAGUUAAACAGUACGUGAAAUUGUCAAAAGGGAAGCGUUUGACACCAGUGUUGUUUUUCCGAAAAUCAAUUACGAAUGGCUUGAUUUUGUGUUGUAUUGACCUUAUCAGCUUUCUUCACUUUUUUCGAGUCUUUCUUAAUGCACUUUUCGGUUAACAAGUCAACAUCAAUUUCUUUUGUUGUAAAAGAGUAUUCGGAAGGUGGCUUUCUUUUCGGAGAAAGUGUUUAUAGCCCUAUACUUCUACAAUCGGAGAGAUUGAGGUCUGCAGCGUAGAUCCUUCGGGGUUAGAUACAUUUGUGCUAAGUUGUAGCUUUUCAUAGACAACUUGUUGACUAUGUUUAGUCAUGCGGCUUACUCGCUUAUGCUAUUUUACCUACGCUUAGGAUGUUGAGUAGCGACAUACGCAC
rnacentral:rRNA from 1 species